GACGAACCGUCCUAACGUUGUUCGGAAUCACUGGGCUUAAAGGGCGCGUAGGCGGGUUCCCAAGUCGGUGGUGAAAUCUUUCGGCCCAACCGGAAAACAGCCGCCGAUACUGGGAGUCUUGAGGGAGGUAGGGGUCGAUGGAACUUCCGGUGGAGCGGUGAAAUGCGUAGAUAUCGGGAGGAACACCAGUGGCGAAGGCGGCGACCUGGGCCAAUAUUGACGCUGAGGUGGCGAAAGCGUGGGGAGCAAACAGG
rnacentral:rRNA from 1 species